rnacentral:snRNA from 1 species
AUCGCUUCUCGGCCUUUUGGCUAAGAUCAAGUGUAGUAUCUGUUCUUCUCAGUUUAAUAACAAACUUAAAGAAAUUCAUUGAUAAUAAUACAUUAAUAGUAGGGGAGUUAAACACUAU